rnacentral:rRNA from 1 species
UACGGAGGGUGCAAGCGUUAUCCGGAUUCACUGGGUUUAAAGGGUGCAUAGGUGGGCAGUUAAGUCAGUGGUGAAAUCUCCGGGCUCAACCCGGAAACUGCCAUUGAUACUAUCUGUCUUGAAUAUCGUGGAGGUAAGCGGAAUAUGUCAUGUAGCGGUGAAAUGCUUAGAUAUGACAUAGAACACCAAUUGCGAAGGCAGCUUACUACCCGAAUAUUGACACUGAGGCACGAAAGCGUGGGGAUCAAACAGG